AAACUUUAAGGCAAAUUCAAGGAGCUCGAAAUUGAUGGAAGAAUCAAGACGGCGAAUCAAGUUCUUCGGGAAGAUCGGCAAAAUUAGGUUUUUCAUAAUUAUUUGUGUAAACCUAUAAUCAAUGUCUUCCUCCUCUGAUUUUGAUUUGUCCUUGGAGAUUAUGAGCAACUAAACUUCUCUUGUUUAGAUUAGAUGAACCCUG
rnacentral:lncRNA from 1 species